GACGAACGCUGGCGGCGUGCUUAACACAUGCAAGUCGAACGGAAAGGCCCUGCUUUUGUGGGGUGCUCGAGUGGCGAACGGGUGAGUAACACGUGAGUAACCUGCCCUUGACUUUGGGAUAACUUCAGGAAACUGGGGCUAAUACCGGAUAGGAGCUCCUGCUGCAUGGUGGGGGUUGGAAAGUUUCGGCGGUUGGGGAUGGACUCGCGGCUUAUCAGCUUGUUGGUGGGGUAGUGGCUUACCAAGGCUUUGACGGGUAGCCGGCCUGAGAGGGUGACCGGCCACAUAGGCACUGAGAUAGGGGCCGUACUCAUACGUGAGGCAGGAGUGAGAAAUAUUGCACGCUAGGCGGAAGGCUGAUGGAGCAACGCCGCGUGCGAGAUGACGGUUUGCGGGUUGUAAACCGCGUUCGCCUGUGACGAAGAGUGAGUGACGGUAAUGGGUAAAGAAGCACCGGCUAACUACGUG
rnacentral:rRNA from 1 species